AUUGAACGCUGGCGGCAUGCCUUACACAUGCAAGUCGAACGGCAGCACGGGAGCAAUCCUGGUGGCGAGUGGCGAACGGGUGAGUAAAGUAUCGGAACGUGCCCAGUCGUGGGGGAUAACGUAGCGAAAGUUACGCUAAUACCGCAUACGAUCUAUGGAUGAAAGCGGGGGAUCGCAAGACCUCGCGCGAUUGGAGUGGCCGAUAUCAGAUUAGGUAGUUGGUGGGGUAAAGGCUCACCAAGCCGACGAUCUGUAGCUGGUCUGAGAGGACGACCAGCCACACUGGGACUGAGACACGGCCCAGACUCCUACGGGAGGCAGCAGUGGGGAAUUUUGGCCAAUGGGCGCAAGCCUGAUCCAGCCAUGCCGCGUGCAGGAUGAAGGCCUUCGGGUUGUAAACUGCUUUUGUACGGAACGAAAAGGUUUGGCUUAGUACGUUGAACUCAUGACGGUACCGUAAGAAUAAGCACCGGCUAACUACGUGCCAGCCGCCGCCGUAA
rnacentral:rRNA from 1 species